rnacentral:rRNA from 1 species
AUUGAACGCUGGCGGCAUGCCUAACACAUGCAAGUCGAACGAGUGGCGGACGGGUGAGUAAUGUAUGGGAAAGUGCCCUGUAGAGGGGUAUAACUACUCGAAAGGGUAGCUAAUACCGCAUACUAUCGGAUGUGCCCAGAUGGGAGUAGCUAGUGGGUGGGGUAACGGCUCACCAAGGCGACGAUCCUUAGCUGGUUUGAGAGGAUGACCAGCCACACUGAGACUGAGACACGGCCCAGACUCCUACGGGAGGCAUCAGUGGGGAAUUGUGCACAAGGGGCGCAAGCCUGAUGCAGCCAUGCCGCGUGUGUGAAGAAGGCCUUCGGGUUGGAAAGCACUUUAAGCUGGGAGGCGUUACCCGCAGAAUAAGCACCGGCUAACUUCGUGCCAGCAGCCGCGGUAAUAC